AGGAAACUUGUCAUAGCUUUUUCUGAAACUGCUGUUUAAAUUCAGGAAUAUGUAGAAUUUAAGAGUUGGAGGCACCAACUGAGCCCAGAGGAAACUUAAGUGAUUCAAAAGUGUUGAAAUUACUUUGAAAAUGAACAUGUGUAUCUGAGUCUGUGUCUCAAGAAGCUAAUUAUUCAAGGGGGUCUCUCCUAAUAAGCUCCCAGGCAGAAUGCAUGUUUAUUAAAAAGUAAGUAAUAGGAGUUCCCAUUAGGGCUCAGCGGAAACAAAUCUGACUAGCAUCCAUGAGGACACAGAUUCGAUCCCUGGCCUAGCUCGGUGGGUUAAAGAUCCCGUGCUGCUGUGAGCUGUGGUGUAGGUUGCAGACGCAGCUUGGAUCCUGCGUUGCUAUGGGUGUGAUGUAGGCCAGCAGCUGUAGCUCCGAUUUGACUCCUACCCAGGGAACCCCCAUAUGCCACAGGUGCAGCCCUAAAAAGACAAAAAAAAGUAAUAAAUUUGUGCUAAAUUGAACCUUACAUACAUAUUAUCAAAACUCAACAGUUAACUGUGGCAACUAUUUAGAACUUUGACCGAUAAUUUUUUUUUUUUCCCAGAGAGAAGCGGUUUGUAACUGACUGACGUUGUUCGAAAUUGCCCGUGGAUAGUGGUGAUAAAAAGCAGGGCAAUUUUAGUUAUAUUUAUUAUGGUUCUUAAGUUCUUUGACUUUUUUUUUUUCUUUUUGUCUUUUUGCUAUUUCUUGGGCCGCUCCCACGGCACGUGGAGGUUCCCAGGCUAGGGGUCCAAUCAGAGGUGAUGUCCAGGCCCCUCAAGUUAGGGAGGGGGUCUUGCAUUUAACAAAACUCUUUUGUUCUUUGUGUCAGCUCAAAGAAUGCUCACCCAGAUCACUAGCCCUAAUUUGCAAGUGAGGAAAUCUAAGCUCACAGGGGUCAGGGGAAUAGCCCAGAGUUACAGAGUGAGUCACUGGCCAGGCUUGGACACACACUUCCUGACCUCUCAGCCAGGACCCUGGCCACAGCCCUGCCUCGGGUCCCCGCAGCUCUGAACUAUGCACCAAUGCAAAGUCGACUCCCAGUCAACAUACUAGCUCGCCAAUUGCGCUCGUGUAACCACGAGGGGGCGCCAGAGGCCCGUUCGUGGAGUAGCCGGACCCAGGCUCCUUCGAGGGAGGACCAAAGAGACCGAUGCCCUUGGAGAGGGUAAAGACGGGGCGGGGUACGGCUGGCCGCUGAAACUCAAGAGCGGUGGCGGCUGGGCUGGAGGGAGGAGCAGGAGGGAAAGGCAUCUGGCCCUGCCUUCUUGCCUGGCCCUGCUGGGGAAAGGGCAGAGCUGGAGAAAGGGAGGGCUUUCCAGAGCACUGGCUCCUGCCCCCGCCUCCAGUCUGCUCAGUCUUGCUCAGGAACAGACCGGACAUUCCUAAAGCUCCGGCAGGAAACCAGCAAAUAGACCAGGAGACCAGCCUCUCUGCAGAUUGGCCAUUUCUUCCAAAGCACCCCCCC
rnacentral:lncRNA from 1 species